GAUGAAGAACGUGGCGAAAUGCGAUAAGUAAUGUGAAUUGCAGAAUUCAGUGAAUCAUCGAAUCUUUGAACGCACAUUGCGCCCGCCAGUAUUCUGGCGGGCAUGCCUGUUCGAGCGUCAUUUCAACCAUCAAGCCCCCGGCUUGUGUUGGGGACCUGCGGCUGCCGCAGGCCCUGAAAAGCAGUGGCGGGCUCGCUGUCACACCGAGCGUAGUAGCAUACAUCUCGCUCUGGGCGUGCUGCGGGUUCCGGCCGUUAAACCACCUUCAUAACCCAAGGUUGACCUCGGAUCAGGUAGGAAGACCCGCUGAACUUAAGCAUAUCAAUAAGCGGAGGA
rnacentral:misc_RNA from 1 species